rnacentral:lncRNA from 1 species
GACAUCUCAAAUCGCAGGUUGGUCGUUUGGCCAAUCUAUGGCAGGUGCCCACUGUGACUAAGUACCCAAGUCCUUGUGAGGCUAUUUCGCCAGGUUUCAGUGAGCCAAAUAUACUUUCAUCAUGUCUUGCAUAUGUGCAUCCACAAAGGAGCGAUAUAUCCAAUUCGUUGUUGCCUCAGAACUUUGAUGAGAAAUCUGAAUAUCCGACCAAAACUGAUGCGCA